rnacentral:rRNA from 1 species
UACAGAGGGGGCAAGCGUUGUUCGGAAUUACUGGGCGUAAAGCGCGUGUAGGCGGUUGUUCAAGUCGGGUGUGAAAGCCUUGAGCUCAACUCAAGAAAUGCACUCGGUACUGGAUGACUAGAGGACCGGAGAGGAUAGUGGAAUUCCCAGUGUAGUGGUGAAAUACGUAGAGAUUGGGAAGAACACCAGUGGCGAAGGCGGCUAUCUGGACGGUUUCUGACGCUAAGACGCGAAAGCGUGGGGAGCAAACAGG